rnacentral:misc_RNA from 1 species
AAUUAUCAACUGCCUUUGAUGGGCUUUUUGCUCUCAAAAAGGGUGAGGUUGGAUUUGGAGGAUUAUUUUGCUGACGGCUCUUCAAUGAGGCUUUGUUGGCUCCUCUGAAAUGCAUGAGCCUUCCUGUGCGCCGGCGAAGCGACUCUACGAUGUGAUAACCAUCUCCGUCGUACGUCGUGUUUGCUUUUGGGCACGAACGGAUCGCGAAACGCGGCUCGCAUCUUUCAGGAUGCGUCCUUGACAA